UGAGCAAUCUGCCCUUCUCAUCGGAAUAAGCGUUGGAAACGACGUCUAAUGCCGAAUACGACCUCCUUUCGCAUGAUCGGAGGUGGAAAGCUCCGGCGGAGAAGGAUGAGCUCGCGGCCUAUCAGCUUGUUGGUGAGGUAAUGGCUCACCAAGGCAUUGACGGGUAGCCGGCCUGAGAGGGUGACCGGCCACACUGGGACUGAGACACGGCCCAGACCUCUACGGGAGG
rnacentral:rRNA from 1 species